rnacentral:piRNA from 1 species
UAACUGAGUUGAAUUGAGAUUGAUGUGUU